UACAGAGACUGCAAGCGUUAUUCGGAUUCACUGGGCGUAAAGGGUGCGCAGGCGGCCGAGUGUGUGAGGCGUGAAAUCCCCGGGCUUAACCUGGGAAUGGCAUUUGGGACUGCAAGGCUCGAGUGCGGCAGAGGAGACUGGAAUUCCUGGUGUAGCAGUGAAAUGCGUAGAUAUCAGGAGGAACACCGAUGGCGAAGGCAGGUCUCUGGGCUGACACUGACGCUCAUGCACGAAAGCGUGGGGAGCAAACAGG
rnacentral:rRNA from 1 species